rnacentral:rRNA from 1 species
AUUGAACGCUGGCGGCAGGCCUAACACAUGCAAGUCGAACGGUAGCACAGAGAGCUUGCUCUCGGGUGACGAGUGGCGGACGGGUGAGUAAUGUCUGGGAAACUGCCUGAUGGAGGGGGAUAACUACUGGGAACGGUAGCUAAUACCGCAUAACGUCGCAAGACCAAAGAGGGGGACCUUCGGGCCUCUUGCCAUCAGAUGUGCCCAGAUGGGAUUAGCUGGUAGGCGGGGUAAUGGCCCACCUAGGCGACGAUCCCUAGCUGGUCUGAGAGGAUGACCAGCCACACUAGAACUGAGACACGGUCCAGACUCCUACGGGAGGCAGCAGUGGGGAAUAUUGCACAAUGGGCGCAAGCCUGAUGCAGCCAUGCCGCGUGUGUGAAGAAGGCCUUCGGGUUGUAAAGCACUUUCAGCGGGGAGGAAGGCGGUACGGUUAAUAACCGCGCCGAUUGACGUUACCCGCAGAAGAAGCACCGGCUAACUCCGUGCCAGCCGCCGCUGUAAUAC